CAAUUCUCUCAACACAAAUCCAUAAUCUUACUCUUCUGCAUUCAACAAAAAUAUUUUAUUUUCUACACUUCUUAUUUCUUACUAUAUCUGUUGAGUCUAAUAAUGGAAAUGUGUUUUUUUUUUGCAGACAAGAAGAUUGUUCCAAGAACAGCUAAUGACAUCAAGUUGAUAAACGCUGGUAAGAUUUUGGAGAAUGGCAAAACUGUUGCGCAGUGUAAAGCUCCAUUCGAUGAUCUCCCCAAAUCAGUCAUCACAAUGCAUGUUGUUGUGCAGCCGUCUCCAACAAAAGCAAGAUCAGGUCUUGUUCUCUUGCCUUCUUAUUACAUCUUGUUUAAAGAUAAACAGGGACAAAACUCCUAAUAUCAUCGGUUCUUUUUUUGUUUGUUUGUUUGUUUAUGUCUUAUUCUGUUGCAGAUAAGAAAUUUGAAGAGGAAGAAGCCCCACAGAGAAGCUUUUGCUCAUGUACCAUAAUGUGAUAAUAAAGUUCAUAUUCUGUAUUCAUCAGAAGUUCAAAAAAGCUUCAUCAGUGGCUAUUGAAGCUUUUUCUCUUGCAUUGUGAUGAAAACUCCUUAUUAUAUAUAGAAGAGUUCAAUUUUACAUUUAGAACUCUGUAACAUGUUUUCUUGUAUGGUUCUGUUCAUAUUUACACCUUAAGACCUUUUUUGCCUAGUAGUAUCAAAAUAUUUUUAUCCGGUCCUUCACUAACCCAAAAUCCAGUAACAAACCACCUUUGAUAUGUAAAUGGUCCAUGCAUAAGAUAUAAGUCUCAUCACUUUCUCCUUUACAGAUAGCCAAUUUUUGGGAUUAGAUACAAAACUCCAAAAGAAACAAAGAGCAUGAGAUCUCAAUCAAUGUCCUCUCACCUAACUCCACUUCUUCCAUUUAAAUUCUCACAUUUAUAACCUUCACUUUCAUUCAGUGUCUUUCCACUAUCUUCUCAGCUCUUCUUGCCUUAAAUUCUGGUCCUCUCUUCUCAUUUAUAAUCUUCACUCCCAAUGCGCCUCUUUUUGUUCCCCCUCCACUCCCUCAAAAUUAAUGCAAAGAGACACGUCAGUAUAAGUCUUGUCUAUAUAAAGGAAUAUAACAGAAGCUUGAGAGCUAGUUCAGUGGAGCUCCCAUCUCUUCUUGUCUGGAACUAGCUCUAUGUGUUCACAUUGUUUCAUACUCUUCCUUACAUCAACCAAAUAAAAAGAAAAGAAAAGAAAACUACUUAUUGUCAAGAUGAAGAAGAAACUGAUAAUGUUUUUGUUUGCUCUUCUGCAACUUCUGUUAGUAAACUCUCUUUCUCCAAAACAUCCAUCAGCCAAGCCAGAUGCAGAAAUAAAUGUGAUGGGUUUCGUUUACUGUGAUGUCUGCUCCAACAACAGCUUCUCCAAACACAGUUACUUCAUGUCCGGUAACUGAAAAACAUCACUAAGAAAAUCUCUUCUAUUCUCUUUCAAAAACCCUGUUUCUAACGUUUUCUUGGCCACAGGCGUUGAAGUGAGAAUAGACUGCAGUCUCAAAUCAGGUUCCUCGACAACAAACGAGAUGAUAACAUUCUCUGCGAACAGAACCACUAACGAGUUUGGACUCUUCAAGGUAACCAUAACAUCUCUAGACAGCGUUGACUUGGACAGUCUCGCAACUUCUUGUCAAGCGAGUUUGGUGGGAAGAAGAGGCUCCUCGGAUUCUUCCUGCAACGUACCUGGUUACAGAAGCACCACGGAUCAAGUCGUGUUUAAGUCAAAACGGUCUAAUCUCUGUAUCUAUGGAUUCAAUGGGUUAAACUUCAGACCGUUCAAGAGGGACCUUGCCUUGUGUGGCAAGAAUUAGGGUUUUCAAACUACAAACUAUCUCAAAAGUUGUUUUUAUUUAAUCAAGAAAUGAAAAUGUGUUUGUGCUAAAGAACAAAGAAAACAAGAACUUAGAGAAUCCAACUAAAACAUCCUCAAGUGUUGGUGAAUGCUACAAACAGACAUCACAGAAUUAAAAUGUUGAUGUUUAAGAGUGUCAAUCAAUCAAGCUUGGCUCAUCUUAUUCAAGCAACCAAUUCCUUCUUCCAUAUAGUCCUCUCUAUUGAUCCAGAACUCUGGUGCGUCCUGCAACAUUAAACCAUUCAACAAUUGAACAACCAUAUAGGGUUCAGUGUUGCGAAAGAGGAAAGCAUUGAGCUUCUUUCUACCUUCAUGAUUCCUGCAAGAACAGCGCCUCCGAGGUAUACCAUGUGUUUCCUUCUAGGUGGAUCCUCUAUCCGCAACCUAAGUUUCUGAUUGAAAAAAGAAAAAAAAACAAAAAGAAAUGUUAAGAACUUGACAAUGACAGUGAUCAUAAACUUAAAUGGAUACUCUACCUUCAAACCAUCUCUGUUUCCUUUGAGAACUGUAUCAAGAUACCGAUCCUGGAUCUCUUUCUCAAGACUGAAAACAAAGAGAGCACAUAAAACAUUAAACCCAAACCAUCAAGCUUCUUGUUGGAGUACAAAUAACCAAAAAAUAUACAAACCGGCUAGGUAAUCCAGGGUACAUGGUGCUUCCUCCACUUAAAACUAUGUGUUGGUAAAGCUGUGAUAAAAAAAAUGGGUUUGAGAAAAUACUAUAUUAUUGUUUUGGAUCUUUAAGCAAAAGCAUGAGAUUGCGCACGUACCAUCAUGCGGUUAUCAAUAUCCAUUUCUUGAAUACAGCGGAACACCAUGUCUGCCAUUCCAUCACCUUCAACAUCAAUGAGUUCCUGUAACCAAAGAUAAUGAUUCUUUAAAGAUUUGGAAUUGAUUUAGAAAGAGAAACUAGCAAAGGACGUGCAUAAGGUUUACCGGUGUAAAAAGUGCUUCAGGUGCUUGGAAUCUUUCAGUGCCUACUUUGAUGACCCUCCCAUCUGGAAGCUUAUCACAGUACAAAAACACACAACAGAUUAGUUUUUAGGCUUGCAAUGACAAAAAAAGUAUGAAUCUUUCUAUCUUACAAAGAUGAUAUUACAAACCAUAGACUAAAGGACUAAUAAAAACAAAGAAAGGUAGCAAUCUUUGACUACCUCAAGGGACUCAAGUAUCUUGUUUCUGAUCAUAACUUUAGAUUCCUAUUUUCCACUCCUAAAAGGUUUUAAACCAGAAUAGAGAACUUACAGUAUAAUUCUUAACAAGAAUGGUUGUCUCAAGCCCAAGCUGAUACUCUCUCUUGUAGUCAUAACUGCCAACAAAGAAGAAACAAGAAUAUAUAUUUUUAUUUCCUAUUCUUGUAACGCAUAUGUACUCAGACUGUGAAGAAAGACUUAGCAUACCUUAUAUAGCAGAGCUUCUCUUUGAUCUCCCUAACCGUCUCAAAGUCAGCCGUUUUAUUCAUCGCAUAUCUGUUAACAAACACACAAACAUCUCAUACAUCAUCAAAAUGUCAAUCAAUCUCAAACAUUUGAAUCAGUUUCUUCACCCUCGUCUAGAAAGAAGAUCAACAAGAUAUGCUGUUAUGUGUCUGCCAGCAACAUUCAUUCUUUUUGUAAGAUGAGGAAACGAAUAGCCAUCAACCACCGGAACCUAAGUUGUGAGAUGCCACUGUUAAAGUACUACUUUAUAAGCAGAAAAACCACAGAUCUAUGUAGCUUACUUACCACAUGAGUAACACCAUCACCAGAAUCAAUAACCAAACCAGUCAGCAAACCUGAAAACAAAGAAUUCAAUAUUAAAAAAAAAUAUAUAUAUAUAUAUUAAAAAAAAACAGGUGUAUAAAUUGUUUUUCCAGGUGACUGACUAUAUAUAAACCUUCAACAAGAAUCUCCAACAAGCACCUUGGGCAUACAGAGUCAAAACGGCUUGGAUUUGAAUGAAAACGCCGGCGAAAUUGUACUUCUCGAACAUUGUCUCAAUCUGUUUCACUCAACUUGAUUCAGUUUUACUACUCCAACAACAAACCACCCAAGAGUUGACAAUAUAUAUUCGUACCAUUUUCUCUCGGUUCUUGGAGGGGUUAAGUGGUGGAUCAGUGAGCAGUAUCUUACAAUCUGAUGGAUUGAUCUGAACAAUAACAAAAAGGGUUUUUCAUUACUCAUUUCAAGCAAACACGCAAGAAGAAACAAAAAUUGCUUACUUUCAACUCGUUGUAGAAAGCAUGAUCCCAAACAUGUUCCAUGUCUUCCCAGUUCUGCACAAUACCAUUGUGGACAGGGUAGUUUAUAUCCAGCUGAUGCCUGAGCUCAGCGCAUGUCUCCCCCACAACUAUAUCCUAAAAAAAAAUGAAACAAAACCAAAACAAAGUCUACCAAAUCAAAUUAUGGAAACACAGCUCAGCCAAAAGGAUCUCAGAUGUUAAGUAAGCAAAGAUCUAAACUUUAUAAGAGGAAAGUGCACAUAUAUAUAUAUAUAUACAAACCUUCACUUGCUGCUCCAUGAGUGACUCUUCGUAACGGAGCAAGGGUCUUCCCACGACACAAGGGAACACAGAUGUUGGGAAGUUCUCUCCAGCAAAUCCACAUUUUACAUACUGAUGAAUUAACAGAAACAUUCAGAUAUUAGAGACUCAAGAACAUAAAGUUGGUCUUCCCAGGCAAAACCCAAAACGUAACGCAUCAGAAGAGCCUCAAAGUUUCAAUUUUUUUGCUAACUUUCAGACAAUUAAGAUCAGAAAGGUGAGAUUUUUUUUAAUGAAACCCAGCAAGAAAGUGUAAUGUUUGGUGAGAUUCAGCUAAAGGGGCUCGUGGGACGAAACGAUCGGAGUCUGAAAGAACAGCAAGAGAUAAGAGAGGAUGAUAUAGCAAAAGCUUACGCCGGUGCCGUUGUCGCAAACGACGACGUUUUUGUUAUCCAUCUUCCCCGAUUUGAAUGCUCGCUGUUAAAGAUCUCAGCUUUCUAGCGAAUUACAUGAAACAGAGAUCUUCGAUCUCAUAAAGAUGAAGACUUGUCUUGGAAUCGAAGCGAAGAAGAAUCACUGUUCUCUCUGCUUUCUUCCGCUUUGCUCUCUCUGACCGGUCAAUACCGUUUCCUCAUUUCUCGAUUAGAAUGUGCGUCGUUUACUUUGAGUAAAAACGUGACGUAGUGUAUAUGGUUUGUAGAAUAACGGCGUCUCGUUUUGAGCUGUAGAUGAAAAAACUCUUCAUGGUGGUGGGUAAGCCUUUUUUCUUAGCAUGAGUUAGUCUGUCUCUCUCUCUCGCUUUGCAUGGAUGAUGGACCAAUUCAAUCUCCUCUUUCUCUUGUUUCAGCCAAAUCAAAAAUAAGAAAAGGAGAUUUUAAGAGAUACAGAACACAGCUUUAAUAUCAUAGUGGACUCCGUCUCCACAGAAUCAGAACAUGCAACAAAGUAUUUGAAAAUGCUAAAGAAGAGCACAAUGUGAAAAAGAAGCUAUACUAGUUUCUUUCAUCUUUGUAAAUUAACUGUUAUCUCCAUUAUACAAAUGUGAUGGAAAGAAAGUAUACACAUCAUAAGUAAAAACAUUUUUCUCUAUAUCAAAAUUAAACUCCAAAGCUUCAAAAAAAAGAAACAGACUAUCUCUGGCUGUGUCAUCAUCAUCAUCCUCUGAAAGUAUCAAAUUGAAAUCAGCUCAGAGGUUUCAAUAAGCAUAUAUAUAUUCACUCUCACUCAGCAAUAAACCUUUCUUCUUUCCUUCUCCAUGCUACUAGUACAAAUUACAACAAUAAUAUAACAAAACAAAAAGGCCCAUAACCCUUUUCAAAUCCACAAUAGAAAAACCAAUAUUCAAAAAAGCUGGAAAUUAACGCCCUCAUGAGCCUUGAGAUUCAUCUCUCCCACAGCUCUCUUGCUGAUGAUCUUCAUGUCCUGGAUUAUGAUGAAGAGUAUGGUGAAGAACCCUACCCUGAGCCUGAGCCUGAGCUUGAGCCAUCUGUUGAUAAAUCUGUGGAUUCAAGAUCCCAACAUUCCCUUCCUGAGACAACCCUAACUCAAGUCCAAGCAUCUGAUUACCAUUACCACCACCACUAGCACCAAAAAUGGAAGCAAAACUCAUAGCUCCACCAGGAAAAUCAAAUCCGGGAAACCCAAUUCUGUAACCAGCUACAUUUGGCCAUACUUCUCCUCCUCCUUCUCCCCAACUUGGUCUACCACUACUAGACCCACCACCACGGUCUAAGUCAUGAUGACUGAUCAUCAAACCAGCAGUGAGAGACCCGCCUUGGUUAGAGACUACAGCAGAAGCAGCUGAGGCUAAAGCAGAGGCCGGUACAGUUCCUGAACCGGUGGCUGCGAUAAGCGACGGUUCGGCUUGUUGAAGCAGCCACUGGAUUGUUUCACCGUCUGAUUUGUGACCCAAUUCUCUGGUCAGUUGAAAAAUCCUUGCCGCGCAGAGAGCAGGCAUCCUGAUUCUCCGACCGCGACCUUCGACUUUGGUGUGUCUGUCUUUGUUUGAGCUUCUCUUGGGACCAAGCUGCUUCUUACCGUUGUUGUUCGGUUCUUUGUCGGAAGCGACCACGAUCUGAAAAUCAUUUACUUCUUUGUUGUCAUCGGAAGCAUCUCUCGGUUGUGGUGGCGGGCUCAAAAAGUUUGGUACUUGGUGUGGAUUUGGGUUCUUGGGAUCCAUCGAAGCUGUGUGGGGACUUCAGGCAGGGUCCAGACUUCAGAAUUAAUCGAACAUUUAUUCUCUUUCUCGGAUUUCAAUUAAAGGUUUUUUUUUGUAAAAGAAAAAGGCAUCGACUUUGAGAAUUUUACGGUGUUUUUAAAUAGUGUUUUUUUAGGAAUCCAAUAAGAUCCCGAUGCAGAAUGGAGGAGAAUAAAGUGAAAAGUUAUCAUCUUUCGAUCUCAAAAUGGGUCAAUAAAGAAAUAGAGAAAAACAGUACAAAGUACGAGACUUUAGUUUUGUCUUUUUUUCUUUUUUUUACAGCAAAAGUGAACAAACAAGUAAAACCGUAAUGAAAAAAGGAGUGACCGUUUCACAUUUAGUCCUUAGAUAAAAAGUUAAAUGAGAAUCUAGCAAAUGUCUAAACGUUGCUUAUUAGAAAAAAAAUUGUACGUUUUCUCUUCCUUUUUUAAUUGCCUGUCAGUCUGUCACAGGAUUUGUUUUUUUUUAGUGAAAAGUUCUUUUUAAUGUAAGCACUAUUUUUUUUUGUGUGCGCUGUAUAAUGUAAGCACUGUUGUAACUGAUAAUGUAGUGACAUUAUCAGUAUAAAAAAUGGUACACUGUAUAUACACGUAGUGAUUAAGAUUCUCAUCCAAUCAAUAAAUCUACCAACUGUUUUUCAAAUAUCAUGUUGAUUUGAUUUUCUAAGAUCAAAGUACUCCGUUAGAUAUGUAUUUAUAAUACAUGAUUAUACGAAGAUCUAUAUAGGUUGUAGCUCAUUAGUAAUUUUGACAAGUAUAAUCUUACACAGUUUUGCUUAACCAUAUGAUUACACAAACACAGUAAAAGAGAACCAUACCUUUAAUCAUGUUUUAAAAUACACAUAUGCUUCACAAAUACCCUCAUUACUAAUCCCCUAAAGCAACCAAAAACAAAAACAUUUUACAUAAUAUAGCUAAGACUUCAGUCAAAGUCAACGUCUUCUUAGAGAAGGAAGUAGCUAAUCUUUCAAAUGGAUCAAUCGGAUCUUGACAUUUGGCUGUUCCAUAGAAGGUUUGGUUCGCUUGUAGGGCAAGACCUAAAGAGAGAUCCAUCAUUUAUGGACAGACAACAUCAUGGUAUCUCUUUUAUUACUUGCACCUCCCGUAUCAUUAUCAUUCAUAACCACUCAUAAGUCUUGGAGUUCAAUUAACCUUGAUUGAGUUAACUACUCUUUCUGAAAGGCAUGAAUCUCAUAUAAAUGGCCCGCAUAAUCACGUUUAACAGAAUAAAACAAUUUAAACCAAAUUUGUAGCACUAAUUGUGGAUUUUGAUACCUUAGUUUGAUUGCAAGCUCGAACGAUAUCACUUCAACAUAUCUGGGAUCAUACACUCCUUACGAUGAUUGAACAAAAGGCAAAUGGUCUCAAACUUUUCUUGAGCUUGUGAAUAUCUAAAAGCGAAAGCAUUCAGGGACAACAUCCCUUAAACAACAACAUCGUCUAAAAACAUAUAAAGAGAUUUUGCGACAACAUUUUCUGUUUCUCCUGGGAACUGAGAUUUCGAAACAUAUAUACACAACAUAUGAAGACAAUUACUUCCAGUUCUUGCGGCCGUGAGACUAUGACAUCUUUUAACUUGCCAAAGCCGGUUUAAAGUACAUACAGAUGGGCGGAUUGAUCCUCAAGAUCGAUAGGAUUGCAGAUGGAAUUGUCCAUAUCCCAUCUCCACAGAUCAGACCUGAUGCUACUGCACCCGCAUAGUCAUCUGCAUCUUUUCUGUUGAUCCGUUCCCACACGAACAGUAUCACAGUCCCAACGAACAUGUCGAUGGCGAAGUAAGCUCCAAUGUAGAACGGGACAGCCAUCGCCAUUGGGAUAGGGAUAAACUGAGAGAUCUUAGGCGGUGUAAUGUCCCUCAAGAGAUUCACUAUCAGAGCCGCAACGAAAAACCCGUAGCAAAGAGCCAGACAGUGCUUAGGCAGUUCUGCGAACCCCUCGAUACCUAGAAUAGCCAUCUCACGGAAGAUCACUGCGUAAGGUGCUUUGUACGGACCGUUGGGGUCUCCAAUGUCGAAAGCAGACCAGAACAAGUAAAACGUGAGGGGAGCGAUUAUGCAGCCCAUUGCAGUUCCCACGAGCUGGCUCACGAACAUGGAUUUUGCCGAUGAUAAAGUGAGGUAACCUGUUUUGAAGUCUUGCAUGAGAUCAGCUGCGGUAGAGACGAUUGACAUCAUGACGCCACAUGCAGCUAAACCGGCAAUGACACCACCAUCACUUCCCACUACGGAGGCGAUUAUGAAAAGACCGAUCUUUCCGUAGGUUGAUGCUAGACUCCAGUCCGUGAGCCCGGUUCCGUAAGAGUUACAGAAGGCCAGAGCAGGUGCAAUGAAGUACGAACACAGGACAAAGUACCAUUUCAAAGGUGGGAAUAUCAAAGGGAUCGUUGCGGUUGAGAUAGCUGCAAGACCCACAUAGCCAGAAACUGCAAAUCCAAGAGGGAUCCGGUCCUUCAAAAACACUUCAUCUCUUUUCUUCUUUACCAACAGUAUCUCAGAGGCUUCGUCAUCUGAAUCAUAGAAUCGGAAAACACACAGUUUCAAAGGUUAUUACAAGAUAUUGGUUAUUACAAGAGCAUGUGAGAGAUGAGUCAGGAUCUAAUAUGCUCUCACCUACAACAUUGGUAACAACGGGUAGAUUGAGAUUUCUAGAGCUAUUGCUGCAUAAUUCCUUUACUGUAACAGCAAUGAUCUUGACAAGAUUGUAGAGACCGUCUCCAAGGAUAAUGGCAAUGGCAAUAAAGACCUUAAAUAGUUAUGAAGAACACAGAAGCAUCAGUGUUUCUAUUUAUCACCCUUUUGACAUGAAUAUGUGCUUUUAUGAAAAGGUUCCUAAUUGAUCAGCUUGUACUGUACCUUAUAUCCAUAGAGACCUUUGAAAUCGUUGGAGCCAAGGUCAGCUGGAUACCAAUCACCGGCAUGUUGUGAUACAAAUGGCCACAGAAACCCCCAAGAGAUGAUCGCACCAAGAAGAACCGAACAGUUCACUAUAUGGGGGCAUAUAAGACCACAUCCAACAUAUGUCGGACUGAAGUCGAAGUAAAACCUGCGGGGCAGAAAAUUGGAACUCAUCAAAAACUGCGCAAACUUACUCCAAAAAGUAGCAGAAAAACACAUUCCAGCUAAACUUGUUAAUAUGAACUACUUACGUGUUCUUGAAUAGUGUCAAACCAAGGGUGGGGAAGUUAUCAAAUCCACAUGCAUCUCCUACGCCACUGAAGAACCACUUGAAACAACUCCAAACCAAGCUAAGACUCAGGUAUUUCCCAAGACAUUUGACCUGGUUCCUGUAGUUAAAACAAUAUCACGUGAACAAGUUGAAAACAAAAAACGCAAGAUAUAGUUCGCAGAAAGCGAGAUUAAAAUUUUUUACGCUGCAAGCUCAGCUCCAGUGUUGGUGUGGAAGCUGUUAAUCAGCAUUGCUGUGGCGGUCCCACUGGGAUAGGUAAGCUUGUAGUCCAAAACCAUCACCUGAAACAUAAAAAACGCACGAGUAAGGAAUCAAGAACUUGCUCUGCACGUGACCACACCAGAUACAUUAUCAAUGCAGUUGAGAUACUAAAGAGUAAAGGAAGGCAUUGCUCUGUAUAAGAUCCAUGGCCAAGCCUAACGAAACAAUGGCCUUGGAUCCCGAAAAAAAUUAUUGAAAUCUUUAUUAAAUCGUCCGAGGCCCCCAAAAUGGCCCUAGUAAGAUCCAUGUGAUAGUGAUUCUACCUUGCGUAAGGGAACGAGACUAAAGAGCCCCAAGAAGCUGACUACAAACAAAAACCCAAUCAUCCACCACAGCCCUGGAUUGAUAACAUCCUCCGCGUGAUUCCCAGGAUAGUCAGCACCAAUGAGCUUGUACGUCUUCUCAUCCAUAGCAAUCAAAUACGAUCCAAAUCCUCCUGAAAAAAACUCAAAAUCGAAUCAAUCAAUCAAUCAGAUUCUUCGUCAAAUCUCACAGCUUCUAGAGAUUUCGCGAAUCUGUUACCGCUAAAGGCGAGGCCGUAGCACGCGACGACGCAGGUCUGAAUAACGGUGUUCUCCUGCUUGGUGAACGGCUUAACCGUGAAUCCAAGCUUCGACAAGAAACCGGUCCACGAUUUGACGAAGAAGAACCCGAGCAAACCGGCGGCGACGUUAAGCGAAGGGAUGAUGCCUACUGUGAGAUUCAGUUUGUGAGUGAUGAUGCAGAACAACGUCCCCAGCAACGCGCUAACGACCAAUCCGCGGAUCGUUAUCUGCUCCUUCCACUCCGGCACGUGCUCGUCUUGAUCUAGAGUCACAGUCGCCGCGGUCUUGUUAGGCUCCGGUAACAGCAAGGCCUCGGAUAUCUCCGGCGACGUUGGGAUCUCAGUCCCCAUGAUUUUGAGCUGCUUCUUCUCAAUGUGGGCGGUGGAUCUCUCAGAGAGAAUGUGAGGUUGACGAAUUUGAGAAGUUAGUUAGGGAAAAAGAUCGUGCUGAAUCUCGAGAUUAGACGCAAUGGUAGUUAAGAAGGUCGAAUAGGAGGCUGCCACGUGGUUUUUGGAUUCCGUUACGUUACUGUUACAUCGAAACGAUAAAAUUUUUUCUGGUUGAAUGGAUUAUGGAUACGAAGCGUGUUAAAUGUAUUUUUGUUGCUUUCUCUGUUCCAUCUAAUUUAUUAUUUAUCUUUUUGGGAUAAUUCAGUUAAAUUUUUGUUGCUUCUUAAUGUGAUAUGAUUGGAUAUUGAUUGGUUAUGAAUGGAAUGGAAUUCUUAGAAGUAUGAUGUUGUUCACAUAUAAAAUCGCACACAUUUCUAAAGAGUACAUACACAUAGAUGUCUAUAGAAUAGUAACUAGACUACUAGUAGUUAUGAAACCACUUUGUUUCUUUAUAAAACAGUUACAUACACACAAUACAAGUACAAUAAAAAUUGACUACCAAAUUCAACAAUAUAGUAAGGCCAUUUUUAUCGGAGUAUUUAAAGGGGUCUUUAGGGGGGUUUAAAGGACUUGGGCCCCCACAAAAGCAUAAGAGUCGGUUACAAAAGUAAUGAAUUAAGGAUCGAUCUUGGUUAGUUUCUUGUACUGUUUACGGACCCCACUAACACGUGACGACUCACAAUUGAUUUUUUUUUCAAUUUUUAUUUUAUUUUAAUCAGACAAAAGAAAAUAAUAAUAAAAAACCCCUAACAGUUUCAGCGAUAAUCAUGCUCUAAUACCAAAAAGUGGAGAGCAUAUUUGUAAUAUUAGUAGAUUAGGCGAUGUACAUGUGAAUUUGGAGAGCGAGCAAGAGAACACAAACAAGAGUGAAGUAGACGAGAGUGUGAACAAUAUCCGAAACACCACUUGUUUGAAAUGUUCCAAACUCAACCACUCGGUUCCUUCCCGAAAUCUGAAUCAGCAGGCCUGGAGUUAGCAACCACUUGUUUUAUCUGAGACGCAGUUUGUAAUGUUGCAACUCAUGCUUUAUAAAAUGUUUUAGAAAGAAUAUCAAUAUAUAAAAAAAAAGCAAAAACAAAUUGUUACAAAGACAUAAGACUUUCAAUGUGAUUCAGGAAAGUACCCACAGUGAGCCCCCGUCCACGAUUCCUUUAAAUUUGAGUAUUCUACAACUAUUUGUCACCUGAUCGUAGGAUACAAUAUAAGACGAUUUAUGGAACCUUGAAGUUACAUAAAUAAACUCACCAGCAUGAGUGCAACCUUAUAUAGAUAGUCUUGAUACCAGUUACGUUCUUCACGCGAAACAUUCAGAUUCCACUCACUCAAAGGUAAGAAAAAAUCUUGAAACGACCACUUGUGUUUAUCUGCGUCCUCCAAAAUCCAGUCUUGUAACAUUCUUUAUAUCAACACAAGCUAAUCUUUCCUCGUAAGAUAUCAACACAUUCUGAUGAAUACGUGAGGGUAGUUCUACCAUACGGAAUAUUUCAGAUCUGACAUCAAAGCUCAUUAUAACCGCAUCAUACCUUUGAAUAUUACGGGCUAGAUAAUAUAUCACCCCCUUGACGCAUCAGCCAGAAGCAUAGCCACGACACUUAUGCUUCAAGUUAGUUCAAUUCUGACGGUUCUCCAUGAUUCUUGCCCUGAUCUCAAAGUCAAAACUUACGUAGCAAGUUUUUAUUGAGUUUGGAUAAAAGUAAUAAUUGAUCCGUGCUAGGGUUCCAAACUAAGGGGGUUUUGGAGUCUGCAUCUUCAAUGCAGAUCAAGCCCUGCACAGAAUCCAUACCGGAGAAGUAACAAUAUUCUCCUGGGAAUGUCAUAGGAUGACGAUGAAUACUCUAAGAAGAAGAGUAAGACCUGGCUGAACUCUGAUGAGUAAGUUGCGGGAUCGAGGCAACAAAGAAAUUGUGAUGUUAUAUUGAGCAGAGUAGAAGACUUGGCUGUGAAGUUUCGAAGGACUUGAUGAAACAUGGAUCUGUAGUGAUUGAUAACCAAAGCUUCGACACACAACCGUAAAAGUAUCUAUGUGGUUAGAUCACUAGGAAACAAAGAAAUUGACGACGUCGGUUGUUGCUCCAUCUUUAAUUAGAUGAAGACUCAUUUAAUUGAUAAAUAAUUUAGAGAAGACGAGGUUCGGUGCGUUUAUUUUUUUCAUGGUGUGCUUUGUGCCUUCUCAGACCUUGGGUUGUCUGUCCUCAGUGAUGGUGCGUGUAGUGUGUUUUAAGUUGUGGUUUUUCUUCUUGUGGUCUCCGUCGUAGUGCAUAUUGUGUUUUCUUGCGUUGAUGGAUCUGGGAAUUGGCGUGGGUUGGUCAUCUAUGGUGCAUUCUGUAGCAUGUGGCACAUAACUCAAUAACUGCAUGUGAGUUAGCUUUGCUCCGGACUGGAAGUUUUACGGUCGAUUGCCGGAUCCGAAGGUUGACGGUGUGCUCCUCUUAUUGUAGACACAACAAGCUAUAUGCUCUGCAACGUCAAGUUGUUAUGCAAAUGAGGAAGAUAUAAAAACAUACAGCAAUGUUUGGUCUAUCCUUAAGCUGUUUAUAUUGUAGACCGAUUGUUUGGAAUAAAAUAAAUUUUCAGCGUUAAAAAAAAAAAGGCGAGGCCUACCUCAUAUCUGAUCCGUACUAGGAAACAAAGGAAAAAACUUUGUUGACAGUGGGAUUUGAACCCACGCCCUUUCGGACAGGAACCUUAAUCCUGCGCCUUAGACCAACUCGGCCAUAUCAACUUGCUGUUUUCCAUAGAUUAAAUAACAAUUUUACUCAAUCAUAUAAAAUAGACUUUUCUCACACAACAGAAGCGUCCAUGUUCGUGAUACCGUCCUGGUCGUGAUACCGUCCAAUAGGCUUUACACAAUCAUAUAAAAUAGACUUUUCUCACACAAUAGGCUUGCAUAAGACACCGAAUCACAAACCACCUGGUCGUGAUACCGUCCCACGGUGAAGGGAUGGUCUUCUCUACGCCUAUCUAGCAACUGUGCACGAGCCCUACAUAUUUUGUUUUACAUUUCCCAUGCAAAUGAAAAGUUCAACCAAAUUAUUUGUUUACAAUUGUGUGUAAAAAAGGUGAAAAGAAAAAGAUAAAAGAGACGCAGAUUACAAACUGGAGAGUCCCUUGUGAGAAACAAGAAGCUUAUCUGCUUCCAAAAACUGGUGACACUCUUCUUCUUCCAGCUUCCUCCAAUUGCUCUCCUGACAAAAGGGAUGCCCCAGGCUCAAAAUCCGCAUUCUCUAGUUGCUUCUGGAGCUAUUGGGAACAGAUACAAAAGGCUGAAACACUCUGUUUUUUUUUUCCUGAAUAAAGUUAAAAGUCAUAGUAAAGACAGUUAUUUUCUGUUUACCUUUUUAAGGAUGGCAGAUUGGUCAUCCAGAGGAAACUUACGCAUAUACUUUAGCAUCUCCAGUUGCUGCACGAAAGCACAUUUGAAUAUUAAGACAUUGAACUUACAUGUACAUUUUUGUUUGGUUUUAACCAAAGCUGGCUGACAUUACCUCUUCGUGUAACUGUCGUUGAGCUUCCAUCUUGUGUUCAAACCCAUCUGGACCAAGCUCAGCUUCUUCACAUGCCAUCUCCUCCCUAUUAACUGGUGUAUUAGCCCUUGACUAGAAGAGAGAAAAGGAGGGAGAUUCAGCCUUACUUAGCGAGAAACUUGUAGAAACCAAUCAUCAACUCUUUAUCGUUUUCAAACGCAGAGUUCAGCUUCCCCAAGCAUCCAAUACCAAAUCCUGGGUCUGCUUAUAACCAGUAAUAACCCUUCAUUGAGAAACAUAGCAUAUGUAUCAAAAAAACCGAUAAAAGCUAAAAAGAGAAGGUUACCAAUUCCCAUCUCCAAGAAUAUUUCUUCUUGAAUUGCAGUUGUAACCGCCACAGCUUCCUGCAUUUGAUCAAGCACCAACACAAUGUAAACAUCAAUACUUCAACCACAUUUAGUCUACCAACAAUAUUCUUGUCUGAAAAAAAACACAGUUGUCAUUACAUAAUCUACACCAUCCACUUUGAAAACGACACUAGUCUACCAAACAAUAUUCUUAACUGAAUUAAUCAAUAAUCCAUUACCAAACAGUACAAAACAUUCACCUGUUUGUCCUCAACGGCGUCGGAGAUUCUUUUCUUCACAUCUGAGAUUAUUAUAAGAUUAAAAAAAAAAAGAUUUUGCAAUGAAUCAAUCGAUAUACUGAUUCAGAAACAUUAAAAGGGAGAAAAGGUCAAUCACCAGAUUGCGAAGUCAAGUAAUCGAAUCGAUCAAAGAGAUAAACCAUCUGCUCUUUCGUCAACAUCCCUGAGCUUUGCAGCGACGCCAUUGCCAACUAAAUAAAAACACUAUCUUCUGAACAUAAAAAUUCAGACAAAACUUUUAGACAAAUUAGAAUGCCACCGAUAAUAAGCAAAUGACCAAAACACCCCUUAUCACAAACGUUACGUAGUUUGUUUAUAAGAAUUUCUUUAUUUUAAUUACGUCAUUAUCGUUUUAAAUUUAUCAAACUCAGUAUUGUCGUCAAUAUACACUGGAAUUUUGGGUUAAUAAAUGAGGAAAAUAAUAAAUUUGGCGCCAAUAAUUAAUAAAUGCACCAGCUAAGCCAAAGGACAAAAACGACAUUUUGUCAAAACGUCUGCUUUCGCAUGCGUUGUUGUGAGGUAACGCGGGCCUAAGAGUAAUCAAACAAAUUCGACCCAAUAAAAGUUGAUAGAGACCUAAGGCCCAGUACUGAGCCCAAUAGGCUUCUUUGCCGUGGCAUUGCUAAUGACAUCAAGUUGAUAAACGCUGGUAAGAUUUUGGAGAAUGGCAAAACUGUUGCGCAGUGUAAAGCUCCAUUCGAUGAUCUCCCCAAAUCAGUCAUCACAAUGCAUGUUGUUGUGCAGCCGUCUCCAACAAAAGCAAGAUCAG
rnacentral:lncRNA from 1 species